UCUGGAGAUCCAUGUAGAUUUGACAGAUUUAGAUGUUAAAGAGUACCAGACCCAAGAUGGACACGUGGGACACAACGCUCAUUAUGGGCUUCCACCUGGACAUAGAGCCACUGACCACAGCCCUCUGGCUGCAACCUUCCAACCAAUUCCUUUUUUACACCCUUCAAAUCCAUACCUCUCCAACUUAGAGAAAAGGAUGCAGAGGAGGACCAAGUCAAAGGCCUUGCAGAAGUCCAGGUAGGUGACAUCUGUUGCUCUCCCUUUGUCCACCGAUGCCAUCACUCCAUCAUAGUAGGCCACCAGAUUGAUCAGGCACAAACUUCCCUUGGUGAAGCCAGCUGUCUCGGAUCACUUGCUGUCUCACUCCAAUUUAUAGGAGGGAAAGGAGGUUCUUUAAUCUCUUUCACUUGCUUGUCCCUCAUGUGCCUUAACAUGUCUUUUAGUAGAAUCUGUUCCAUGAUCUUCUCAGGCACAGAUGAGGCUCAUGGGCCUGGAGUUCCCUAGGUCCUCCUUUUUCCCUUUCUUGUAAAUGGGAAUGAUGUGUUCAUUUGUCCAGUCCCUGGGGACUUCACCUGACAACCACAACUUUUCAAAUAUGAUGGAGAGCAGCUCAGCAACCACCUCAGCCAGCUGCCUUAGGACACUGGCGUGCAUGUCACCUGGACCCAUGGGCUUGUACACAUUCAGACUCAUUAGUUGGUCUCAGAGUUGGAGAGGUAUGAAACUUGCUUAUUAAAUUCAAUUUAGUCUUAGUAUAAGGUUUCUAGACCUUUUUUCCCCUUUUGUUUCAUUUAUAUCUUUCAUAAGAUCUAAAGAGGCAUUGUUUUCAGAUGGAAUUUCAUUUCACAGUAACAUAUCUUGAAGUAAGGAUAAUAGUAAAAUAAACAAGAUAGCAAACCACAAAUCAUUCCUUAGCCCAAGAUAAGGUGAAUCUAUACUAGUUGACUGGGACUAAGGAAGAUCUUUCCAUUUGCCAGAACAUUCACCCAAGUAUCCAUGUACACAAUUCAUUUCCA
ensembl:lncRNA